CAAGGUGCUCUCAGCUAAGAUGGGUGUAGCCGAACACACAUUCGUAUCAGAAAUGUCAACUUUCGAUGAUUUCAUUCUAUCUUACUAUGGUUUCAGGUUGUCUUCUAACAACAGCUUUGUGACGUGUUGGUUGUAGAGUAAGAUUCUUUUGGCCAGUUCCAUUCACUUGAUCAAGGUUGCGGAGGUCCAUCGCACUGUGGAACAGUGCACUCUUGUCAGAAAAAUAGCUGGUUUGUUUCACUACUUGAGAGAUUCGAGUCAUGGACAACGAGCCUCAUUUUCUCAGGUCAAGCUCCUGAGCAGAAUCACAUCAAACCUCUCUGACACAAAUCUUCGAACUUGCAUUGACUCGUUCAACCAAUUAUUUAUACCCUUUCUCUUUGCCAUUAUAUGACUCCAAGUUAUAAGAAGGCGUCUCUCCUUCGUAUCUUGUCAUGUCAUUAGAUCUCUUAAGAAACAAUGUUUUAAGUCAUUGUGAUCUGCAGCUU